rnacentral:lncRNA from 1 species
UGGAGUGCGUCCGAGCGCUGCCGCUGGCCUGUGUACUGCACGAGCUCGGAGCCGGACGCAGCCGAGCAGGGCAGCCGAUCAGACCGGGAGUGGGUGCCGAACUACUGGUCGACGUGGGCCAAUGGUUGUCCCGCGGGACACCCUGGCUCCGCGUGCACCUGGACGGCCCCGCGCUCAGCAGUCAGCAGCGCCGCACUCUUCUGGGGGCUCUCGUGCUGUCAGAUCGAGCACCCUUCAAGGCCCCUUCACCCUUCGCUGAGCUUGUCCUCCCACCGACCACCCCAUAGCCCUAAAUCUCCAACCCAUCGCUGCCAGUGAGUUCUCCAACAAGGGAUGGGACUGGAGCUUCAGGUCCAUGAUGCUACUGGCUCUAGGGCCCAAAGCUUGGCCCAAGCUCUCUCAGUUCAAACCCCUUCUCAGGAUCUCAAGGGGUGAAACUCUGCACAUAAAUUCCCGGCAUUGGUCGGGGCAAGGCCAAGGCCAACACCAAGGCCCUGGGCUAAGGACUAGACUGUUGAUCACUGCCCUGUUUGGGGCUGGGCUAGGCUGGGCCUGGCUGGCCGCUAGAGCU